AAAAAUUUAGUUAAAUCUAUAACAUUAGCUUGUCAAGCUAAAAUUAUUUUAGCCAAUAAUUUUUA
rnacentral:tRNA from 1 species